rnacentral:rRNA from 1 species
GACGAACGCUGGCGGCGUGCUUAACACAUGCAAGUCGAACGGUGAAGCGCCUUCCUUUUUGGUGGGUGUGGAUGAGUGGCGAACGGGUGAGUAACACGUGAGUAACCUGCCCCCUUCUUCUGGAUAACCGCAUGAAAGUGUGGCUAAUACGGGAUAUUCUGGGUCUGUCGCAUGAUGGGUCUGGGAAAGAUAUUGUUUCGGUGGGGGAUGGGCUCGCGGCCUAUCAGCUUGUUGGUGGGGUGAUGGCCUACCAAGGCGGUGACGGGUAGCCGGCCUGAGAGGGUGGACGGUCACACUGGGACUGAGACACGACCCAGACUCCUACGGGAGGCAGCAGUGGGGAAUAUUGCACAAUGGGCGCAAGCCUGAUGCAGCGACGCCGCGUGAGGGAUGGAGGCCUUCGGGUUGUGAACCUCUUUCGCCAGUGAAGCAGGCCUGCCUCGUUUGUGGGUGGGUUGACGGUAGCUGGAUAAGAAGCGCCGGCUAACUACGU